CUCACACACAAUCUGCACAAAUGCAACACCACUAACAAUCCACAUACAUGCACACAACCCCACAUGCAAUACCCCAAACAGCCCCACACAUACACACCCCACCAAACACACAAUGUGACAUAUCCAUCCACGCAUAAUUUCACAAGCAGCCCCCAACACACAGGUACACGAUGCCACAAACUACUCAUGAACAUAUACAAUAUAACAGCUCACAUAUGCACAAAUACAACAAUACAAAACAACUGCAGUAUGAAUAACAAGCAGAACACAGCAACAUACAAACCUCAAUUUAACAAAAAUAGGACCGGC